CUUGCAGCGCUGCUGCGUGAGCGUCAGGCAGAUCAGGCCACGGCCGUGCUUCGCCAUGAAGUUGAUCGCCUCCGGUGUGACGUGCUCGGCCGCCA
rnacentral:antisense_RNA from 1 species